GGGAUAUGAUGAGUGGUCAAUGCUCUCAUUAAAUAUACGAGAAGGGCAUCCAGGCCAUCCUGGUUACGACAAUUUGGGAGCUCUCAUUUAACCAAUUUGAUCCC